UACGUAGGUCCCGAGCGUUGUCCGGAUUUAUUGGGCGUAAAGCGAGCGCAGGUGGUUUAUUAAGUCUGGGGUAAAAGGCAGUGGCUCAACCAUUGUAUGCAUUGGAAACUGGUAGACUUGAGUGCAGGAGAGGAGAUUGGAAUUUCAUGUGUAGCGGUGAAAUGCGUAGAUAUAUGGAGGAACACCGGUGGCGAAAGCGGCUCUCUGGCCUGUAACUGACACUGAGGCUCGAAAGCGUGGGGAGCAAACAGG
rnacentral:rRNA from 1 species